UACGAAGGGGGCUAGCGUUGCUCGGAAUCACUGGGCGUAAAGCGUGCGUAGGCGGUUCGUUAAGACUGCUGUGAAAGCCCUGGGCUCAACCUGGGAACUGCAGUGGAUACUGGCGAGCUAGAGUGUGAUAGAGGAUGGUGGAAUUCCCGGUGUAGCGGUGAAAUGCGUAGAGAUCGGGAGGAACACCAGUGGCGAAGGCAGUCCCCUGGACCUGUACUGACGCUCAUGCACGAAAGCGUGGGGAGCAAACAGG
rnacentral:rRNA from 1 species